AACGAACGCUGGCGGCAUGCCUAACACAUGCAAGUCGAACGAGACCUUCGGGUCUAGUGGCGCACGGGUGCGUAACGCGUGGGAACCUGCCCUUAGGUUCGGAAUAACUCCCCGAAAGGGGUGCUAAUACCGGAUAAUGUCUUCGGACCAAAGAUUUAUCGCCUUUGGAUGGGCCCGCGUUGGAUUAGCUAGUUGGUAGGGUAAAAGCCUACCAAGGCGACGAUCCAUAGCUGGUCUGAGAGGAUGAUCAGCCACACUGGGACUGAGACACGGCCCAGACUCCUACGGGAGGCAGCAGUGGGGAAUAUUGGAAAAUGGGCGAAAGCCUGAACCAGCAAUGACGCGUGAGUGAUGAAGGCCUUAGGGUUGUAAAGCUCUUUUACCCGGGAUGAUAAUGACAGUACCGGGAGAAUAAGCUCCGGCUAACUCCGUG
rnacentral:rRNA from 1 species